CACCAUCUCUGGGUGGAGAGACCACUCGUGCUGAGAGGAGAAGUCCCUGCUCAAGCGAUCCGCCCGCGCGUUCCCGGCAGAUGGAAGGCCCGUAGGCAGAUGUCGUGGGCUAUACAAAAGUUCCACAGCCUGAGGGCUUCGCGGCAAAGGGCAGAGGAUUGGGUCCUGCCUUGCCUGUUGAUGUAGAACAUCAAGGCCGUGUUGUCUGUGAGGACCCAGACCACCCAGCCCUCCAGGUGCAAGCAGAAGGCUUUGCAUGCCAGCCGUACCACCCUGAGCUCCUUGACAUUUAUGAGGAGGGUCAGAUCCUGAGCUGAUCACAGACCUUGGGUCUGAAUGUUCUCCACAUGGGCCCCCCAUCCCAGGUCCAACGCAUCAGACACCAGUUCCAGCGAUGGGGCCCUGCCCCUGAACAGGACCCCUUGGAGCAUGUUUCUUGGGGCGGACCAUCACCGUAGGUAGAUGAUCACUGGCUCGGGCACUGUGAGCACAUUGUCCAUUCUGUCCCUGGCCUGGGAGAACUCUGAGGCCAAUCAGAGCUGGAGGGGCCUCAUCCUGAGUCUGGCGUGAUGGACCACAUACAUGCACGCCGACAUGUGACCCAAGAGCUGGAGGCACACUCUGGCUGUUGUCACCGGAAACCUUGUGGCCGUGUCUAUGAGCCCCUUCAGGAUCUCGAACCUGUCUGGUGGGAGGGAGGCUCUGGCCAACGAGGCGUGCAGGACCGCCCCGAUAAACUCUAUGCAUUGUACCGGGACUAAUGUGGACUUGGUGUUGUUUACCAACAGGCCCAAAGUGGUGCACGUGGACAGAAGGAGCGCCAAGUGAUCCCGCACCUGUGACGGGGAGCUUCCCUUGACGAACCAGUCAUCCAGAUAGGGGAAAAUCUGGAUCCCCUGGCACCUGAGGUACACGGAGGUGUGAUGCUGGUGGACCAGAUCAUGUUAGAAUGUAUUUGUCUCAAUUCACUUGUGUAUUAGUGCAGAUCAAAGUAAUGGUCAGUUGUAUAAGAGUGUAUUGUGUAGUUAAACUUCAUGAAAACUAAUGGGAUGUUAUUUGCAUGUUUUCACUUAUGUUCCUGUUAUAACGUAAUAACACACAUUUACUUUAUGUAUACCCCUGCAACUAAACAACCCAUCAAAGAAAUCUUGUGACACAAUAAUGAAGGACUUAAACAUAGAACGCUAAUUUCAAAGCAAGUGGCCAUUAUAUACAUGAUGGUCAGAGGUCAAAAGACUAGGUACAUUCCUCACUCACCAUCAUCAAAGGAAAAGCCCACAUGGGUAGAGACACUGUCAGCUUGCUUUCUAUAUGAUGAAACUAUAAAUAUGGAUUCAAAGAUCUGACUGGAUUGUUCCAGGGAAGUGUUUCAGAUGCAAAACAGAGAUCCCCAGAGACAAUCUGGGUACCCUGAGAGCCUUCUGGGAAACUGGCAGUUUAUUACAUCAUUAACAUCAUAUGGAAUUACAAACUGUGACUCACCUGUUAAUAUAUUUUACCUGCGUUAACCUCUCAAUAACUAAAUUCCUAUUGUUAGCUAAUAAACUUAUAGUUAGUUUCCUAUAGAAUUGGCUGCCAAUGUUGUCUUUGGUGUAAGUUCUGGAGUGCCAAUUGAUCUGGGAUAAGUGGCUAGUCUCUUGGUAUGGGUGUGAUUUUUGGUUUUAAUAACCUUUUACCACAAAGUUCAGUUUGUCUAGGUGGCAAGAUACCCUGGCGUCACAGACUGUCCCCUUAGACUUUCCAAUUUAAGACUGGUAUAAUGAUCUAGGAGUUUACAUUUGUUACUGGUGUGGUGAACUCUAAUUAUAGAACACACCACCAGCUUGGGAAAUCUGCCCUGUUUUCUGGCAGUUGGUCCUGAGAUAGACACUCAGUUAUGAGCCACUCCAGACAGUAUGACAGAAGGUUCUACAAACUGCACUCACUGCACUCACGAAUGACAAGCAAAAGUCCAAAAUACCAUUUUGGUGUCAGAAGAUUUUCCCUCUUUCUGACUCCCCGUAGGAAGCUUCCACAACAUUCAAAUAAAGAGGAGUGCUAGAAAUCCUUAAAGACUAAGCAAAUCAGUUACUGAUAACUUAAACUCCAAUGUUCCCAAUGUAGUGAAAGUUAAGAAUGAUUAAAUAGUUGGUGUGAAUCAAACAAUUACAUAUUCAUAAUAUUGGGGGGGAGGGGAGGAAGAGGUGGUGGUAAGUGAGAAAAGGAAGAGGUCCAAAAGUCAUGGCUUCAGGCAAGAGUAUCAAUCCUGUAAUACCUAAUGAAAGAAUCAUGGUAGACUGUAGCUUCAUAUUUUCCAGCAAGAUAAAAGGGGGGAGGGGAGAAGAGAGGCAGGAUGAGUUAAUGCUAGCCAGAUAAGGGUGAAAUUUUACAAAUCUAAGCUUUCUGAAGAAAACAAGUAAUAGUGAGAAAGUUGGUUAUUUAAUAAAUGGAGAUGAAAUUGACACAAAUGACUAAUACUACCUCUAAAAAUAAUGAUCAACAAAGAAAAUAUAGAAAACUGACUAAAUAGGAAAGAAAACCCUGUUAUUGAUAAAGAGAUAAGGAAAUUAACCACUCUGGAAAAUAUGGCUCAUACAGUAUUAACAGAAUUAAUUAAUGAACUUACUCUAUGUACCAUUGACCAUUAUUUUCUGAAAUGAAAUUCAGAUAACUGGGAAGUUUCAAAAGACUGGGAAAAAACAAAUGAAGUUUUCAAAAAAUAAAGUGAUCCUUGAAAUCCAUAUAUUGAAUUUCUAUUCCUAACAAUGGAACAGAUGGGGACAAAUUCAUGAAAUAGCUACAGAACAACAGGACCAUAAAUGGUAAGUAGAAAUUCACACAGGGUAAACUGUGAGGAAUUCCAAACACUGGAAAGGGAAAAGAGAGAAUUCCAAAGGACCCUGACAAAUUAGAAACAUGGACAGAAAUAAUUCAAUUGGAAAAAUACUAGCUAACAGAUCUUAAUUCAAUUCAAUGCACAAACAUACAAGGAAUGGAAACUUGGAAAGCAGUAAUGCUGAAGACUUAAGAAUGAUAAUGGACCAAAAGUUAGACUUGAGCAAGCAAGUAUGAUUUGGCUCCAAUCGAAUACAGUUUGCCUACACAAAAAGGAUCAUUCCACAGAGCAAGGAGGUAGCAUUUUCUCUCCAUACUGCUCUGGUGAGACUUCACCUAGUAGAUUAUGUUCAAUUUUGGCAACCCAUUCCUAGAGAUGCUGACAAGUUAGAUAUCACUCAAAAGAGCAGAGCAACAAAAUGACCUUCUGCUGUUUUCUGUAUAAUCAGGGUGGAUAAAAA